ACGUAGGGUGCAAGCGUUGUCCGGAAUUAUUGGGCGUAAAGAGCUCGUAGGCGGUCUGUCGCGUCGGCUGUGGAAUCCCGAGGCUCAACCUCGGGUCUGCAGUCGAUACGGGCAAACUGGAGUACUGCAGGGGAGACUGGAAUUCCUGGUGUAGCGGUGAAAUGCGCAGAUAUCAGGAGGAACACCGGUGGCGAAGGCGGGUCUCUGGGCAGUAACUGACGCUGAGGAGCGAAAGCGUGGGGAGCGAACAGGAUUAGAUACCCUGGUAGUCCACGCCGUAAACGUUGGGCGCUAGGUGUGGGGCUCAUUCCACGAGUUCCGUGCCGCAGCUAACGCAUUAAGCGCCCCGCCUGGGGAGUACGGCCGCAAGGCUA
rnacentral:rRNA from 1 species